GACGAGGGAUCCUAGCGUUGUUCGGAAUUAUUGGGCGUAAAGCGGGUGUAGGUGGCUAUGUAAGUCAGGUGUGAAAGCCCAGGGCUCAACCCUGGAAGUGCAUUUGAUACUGCGUAGCUUGAGUGUGGGAGAGGAUAGUAGAAUUGUUGGUGUAGUGGUGAAAUACGUAGAUAUCAACAGGAAUACCGGCGGCGAAGGCGGCUAUCUGGCCCAACACUGACACUCAGACCCGAAAGCGUGGGGAUCAAACAGG
rnacentral:rRNA from 1 species